GCCUCACGUCAGGGGAGUCCCGCCAAGGGGACUGAGAGGCUGACAGGGGCAAGCCCCGGUGAAGCGACCCUUUGAACCUGACCCAGUUGAUGCUGGCGUAGGAAGACCGAGGGGCACGCCG
rfam:Defluviimonas sp. 20V17 contig144, whole genome shotgun sequence.